AAACAUGUCUCUUUGAUUCAUUAUAUAUAAAGAGUUUGACCUGCCCGGUGAUGGAAUUUAACGGCCGCAGUAUCUUGACUGUGCAAAGGUAGCAUAAUAAUUUGCCUUAUAAUUGAUGGCUAGUAUGAACGGUUUCACGAAAGCAUUUCUGUCUCAAAUAUAUUUUUUAUAAUUUAUCUUUUAGGUUAAAAGGCCUAAAUAAAACUAAAGGACGAGAAGACCCUAUCGAGCUUUAAAAAAAUUUUUGAGAAAAAAAAUAUUAUUAAAAUAUAUUUUUCUUGUUGUCUUUUUUUGGUUGGGGCGACCUAGGAACAAACAAAGCUUCCUAAACAAAUAAUAAAAAUGCAGUAGAUCCAAUAUUAUAUUGAUAGAUGAAAUUAGUUACCGUAGGGAUAACAGCGUUAUUUUUUCUAAGAGACCUUAUUGAAGAAAAAGUUUGCGACCUCGAUGUUGGAUUGAGGUAACUUAAAGGUGCAGAGGCUUUUAUAAGUGAGUCUGUUCGACUAUAAAAAUCUCACAUGAU
rnacentral:rRNA from 2 species